rnacentral:rRNA from 1 species
UACGUAGGGAGCAAGCGUUGUCCGGAAUCAUUGGGCGUAAAGUGUGCGUAGGUGGUUUGUUAAGUCUGUUGUGAAAGCCCCGGGCUCAACCUGGGAAUGGCAAUGGAUACUGGCAAGCUAGAGUGCGGUAGAGGGUAGUGGAAUUCCCGGUGUAGCGGUGAAAUGCGUAGAGAUCGGGAGGAACACCAGUGGCGAAGGCGGCUACCUGGACCAGCACUGACACUGAGGCACGAAAGCGUGGGGAGCAAACAGG